rnacentral:rRNA from 1 species
GACGAACGCUGGCGGCGUGCCUAAUACAUGCAAGUCGAGCGAGAGCGACCGGUGCUUGCACUGGUCAAUCUAGUGGCGAACGGGUGAGUAACACGUGGGUAACCUGCCCAUCAGAGGGGGAUAACAUUCGGAAACGGAUGCUAAAACCGCAUAGGUCUUCGAACCGCAUGGUUUGAAGAGGAAAAGAGGCGCAAGCUUCUGCUGAUGGAUGGACCCGCGGUGCAUUAGCUAGUUGGUGAGGUAACGGCUCACCAAGGCCGUGAUGCAUAGCCGACCUGAGAGGGUGAUCGGCCACAUUGGGACUGAGACACGGCCCAAACUCCUACGGGAGGCAGCAGUAGGGAAUCUUCCGCAAUGGACGCAAGUCUGACGGAGCAACGCCGCGUGAGUGAAGAAGGUUUUCGGAUCGUAAAACUCUGUUGUUAGAGAAGAAUAAGUGCUAGAGUAACUGUUAGCGCCUUGACGGUAUCUAACCAGAAAGCCACGGCUAACUACGUG